CAAUGAUACCCGGCGCCAUGUCCAACUGGUUCAAACUGGUUUGGCUCUUAUAUUUCAUGGUAUAAACUAGAAAAACAUUGCUUUGCGAUAUACAUGCGCCAUUUUAAGCAGCUCCCCAGUCUGCACAGAACUGUGACCCCCUUGUGAGGAGGAGAAAAAAAAAGCCUUUGUCACCCGUCUUUUCCCCCAAAAUUUUAUCGGCGACGACAUGGCUAAAGCAAAGCAGUCAAGUGGCUCCAUUGAGAGACGAUUUUCCCAGCGCCUGGCAGCGAAACCCAAAGCCACUACAGGAGAAGCCAAGAAGAAAGCUGCCGCCAAAAAGGUGCCUAAAGCAAAGAAGACCAAGGCAGAGAACGGCAACGCCAAGACCGAGGAGCCCAAGGCUGACGCCCCGGAAACCAAAUGAGUUAACGUCAACAUGCUCUCUUUACCCACCUCCCCUUUGCCCCCAUCCCUCCUGUGUACUUGGUGAUUGUACAGUUUGAAAUAAGUAUUUUUUACCAAGUUUUAUAUUACAAAUGUCAUUUAUUAGGUUUGCCCUUGCACUUGAUGUAACACAUGGUGUUCUCACUACGUUCACUCAUAUCUAUUUUGGAAUUUCUUACACCCCUGCCGUCCUUACUUUGUAGCUGGCCGUCUCUCUCGCUCUUUUCUGUCUGUUAUUUUAUUUUUUUUAACUGCUUAAUAUUAGAUACUUUGCCAAGCAUCUGGGUUUUGUUGUUGUUUUGUUUUUUCAAACAUAGGGCAGCUAUUAAAAACUCUGUUUUGAGUCACGGCUUACCAAAUGUUUUUGAGACACUGUAUGUUGUUUGAAAAAAAAUCAAAGUGAUCUACCAGCCUCCCCAAGAAACUUGUAUCAUGUGAACUCAAAUCACCCAAUGAUGAAAUUUCCCGCUAAGCUAUGUUUAUGACUCCGAUGGUUAAUCUAAGUGUUAAAGAAAUAAACAUUUUUAAAAAGCUCUCAA